rnacentral:rRNA from 1 species
CAGGCCUAACACAUGCAAGUCGGACGGUAACAUGAGGUGCUUGCACUUUGAUGACGAGUGGCGCACGGGUGCGCAACGCGUAUAGAACCUACCCUGUACAGGGGGAUAGCCCAGAGAAAUUUGGAUUAAUACCCCGUGGUAAAUAUAAAUGGCAUCAUUUAUAUUUUAAAGUUUUCGGACGGUACGGGAUGGCUAUGCGUCCUAUUAGUUAGAUGGUGAGGUAACGGCUCACCAUGGCAGCGAUAGGUAGGGGCCCUGAGAGGGGGAUCCCCCACACUGGUACUGAGACACGGACCAGACUCCUACGGGAGGCAGCAGUGAGGAAUAUUGGACAAUGGGCGCAAGCCUGAUCCAGCCAUGCCGCGUGCAGGAAGACGGCCCUAUGGGUUGUAAACUGCUUUUAUACGGGAAGAAUAAGGGACACGUGUGUCCUGGUGACGGUACCGUAAGAAUAAGGACCGGCUAACUCCGUGCCAGCAGCCGCGGUAAUACGGAGGGUCCGAGCGUUAUCCGGAAUUAUUGGGUUUAAAGGGUCCGCAGGCGGGCAAUUAAGUCAGGGGUGAAAUGGUGCGGCUCAACCGUAGCACUGCCCUUGAUACUGGUUGUCUUGAGUCAUAGUGAAGUGGCCGGAAUAUGUAGUGUAGCGGUGAAAUGCAUAGAUAUUACAUAGAACACCGAUUGCGAAGGCAGGUCACUAACUAUCGACUGACGCUGAUGGACGAAAGCGUGGGGAGCGAACGGGAUUAGAUACCCCGGUAGUCCACGCCGUAAACGAUGGAUACUAGCUGUCCGCUGCCUUGAGCAGUGGGCGGCCCAGCGAAAGUGAUAAGUAUCCCACCUGGGGAGUACGUUCGCAAGAAUGAAACUCAAAGGAAUUGACGGGGGCCCGCACAAGCGGUGGAGCAUG